rnacentral:rRNA from 1 species
UACGAAGGGAGCUAGCGUUGUUCGGAAUCACUGGGCGUAAAGCGCACGUAGGCGGAUUUGUCAGUCAGGGGUGAAAUCCCGGGGCUCAACCUCGGAACUGCCUUUGAUACAGCAAGUCUUGAGUUCGAGAGAGGUGGGUGGAAUUCCUAGUGUAGAGGUGAAAUUCGUAGAUAUUAGGAAGAACACCGGAUGGCGAAGGCGCAGUCGUCUGGC